rnacentral:rRNA from 1 species
UACGUAGGGUGCAAGCGUUGUCCGGAAUUAUUGGGCGUAAAGAGCUCGUAGGCGGUCUGUCGCGUCGGCUGUGAAAACCCGGAGCUCAACUCCGGGCCUGCAGUCGAUAACGGGCAGACUGGAGUUCGGCAGGGGAGACUGGAAUUCCUGGUGUAGCGGUGAAAUGCGCAGAUAUCAGGAGGAACACCGGUGGCGAAGGCGGGUCUCUGGGCCGAUACUGACGCUGAGGAGCGAAAGCGUGGGGAGCGAACAGG